UCAUCCACUCAAAAGUACUGUGCUAAAAUUGCUGUAUUGCUAGCAGAGUACAAUGCAGAAGAGCACUAGCCCUGCACCAGAAAUGAAACUGGGUCAGACCUCUUUCUUAAUGUCCCAUGACCUGUGUUUCAAUGUCCAGAGCAACACUU